CGGCGCACGGGUGCGUAGCACGUGGGUAACCUGCCCUUUGGUGGGGAAUAACCUCGCGAAAGCGAGGCUAAUUCCGCAUAAGAUCCGCAAGGAUGAAAGCCGCAAGGCGCCGAAGGAGGGGCCCGCGCACGAUUAGUUAGUUGGUAGGGUAACGGCCUACCAAGACUAUGAUCGUUAGCUGGUCUGAGAGGAUGGCCAGCCACACUGGAACUGAGACACGGUCCAGACUCCUACGGGAGGCAGCAGUGGGGAAUCUUGCGCAAUGGGCGAAAGCCUGACGCAGCGACGCCGCGUGGGGGAUGAAGCUUCUCGGAGUGUAAACCCCUUUCGACUGGGACGAAUACCUCGCAAGAGGGGUGACGGUACCAGUAGAAGAAGCCCCGGCUUAACUACGUGCCAGCAGCCGCGGUAAGACGUAUGGCGCCAGCGUUGUUCGGAAUUACUGGGUGUAAAG
rnacentral:rRNA from 1 species